CGGGUGAAGAAAGCUCUUGGAGGAGGCGCCUUGGAUGAGGUUCGUGAGUCCUCUCCAUACACUUCUGCUUCCAAUGAGUCUCUCCAUCAGUAUAGUCAGGAGAAAGGAUGAGAGACACGCCCUUCAGUCUUCUUCUCAUGGAGAAACUGAACUCGGAUGGGAAUGUCUUCAAGGAUUGGAUUUGAGCUGAGGGUAGAGCUUGUGUUGUGCGGAAGCUACAGCUCAGGUUCUGAUGAACCUGGCUCUGAUACCAUAUGAUUUUUAAAGAGAUCUCUACUCUGGUAGUAUGUGUGUGUGUAUAAGCUUCAAUGAAGAAUGAUUAGAGCUUGUUCUAGGUGAUAUAGAGAGAGAGAUUGGUGAGAGUGUUUAUGAGUAUAUGAGAGACUUUAAGGACAGAGAUUAAGAGACUUAAGAGACUAGAGAGACUGAGAGAAUAAGAGACUGAAGAUUAGUGUUUCAGAUUAGAGAAGGAGAGGGGAAACCCCCUUACUCACUUA
rnacentral:lncRNA from 1 species